ensembl:lncRNA
GUUAACACUAUGAGACAUCAUGCUGGGUGCAGCUCGCAGCUGAUGGAUGUUCGUGUGAGCUUUUUGCACCCAAAUGGCGGCAGUACUUUAGCAUUGCUGAGGGGACUCGGCCGUGUCAUAGCAGGAGUAAUUGCUCAGGUCCCAAAGGAGCCAAAGUGUUGAGAGCGAAGCUGUUUGUGUGAACCAUUCCUCAAGAAAGCUGCCAGUAGCAACACCGCAGGUUAAGCAAAACAGACCUUGCAAACAGGCCCGUCUUGAAGAGGCGCUGCACUGGUAUGUUCAAUGGGAGGAAUGCCAGCGAUAAUGUUUAUUCAGCCAGUUAAAUAGCAAGCUCUGCAAUGCCAGCUUCGUAGGAUAGGAUAGUUUGAAAUGAAUAUCCAGAUCUGCAGAAAUGCCGGUUAUUCCACAGAAACUUUCUGCCAUCAAAAGUGUUCAAUAUGCAACUUAUCCAACGUAUUCAAUGCGACAAAGAUUGAGCCUUUUCGCGUCAAGAUGACAGCCCAAACAGGUGAGAAAACAAAUGAGCGAUUAAUAGGGUCUCCCUGGAGAGCGCCAACACAGCCGCAGCCAGGGCGGUUCCGGCCAGUCAAGACCAGUGCAGCUGCAGCAUUAUGCAGAAGUGGAACCCGUGACAGUCAGGCGACAUCUCUACAUUUUCCCAUCACGCCCCCUGCGAUGUACAACGCUGAGACACCACGACCACAAACUUCCUCUAUCUGUGACAGCAACCAAGAAGAGCGGCCAAACAACCAGGGACCAAGGCCCAACCUUUGGGCGGCUCUGCUUCCUGUGAUGAAAAUACCGGUGAAAAAAAACAAAAUCUGUGAGAAGGUCCAGCGAGUUUCUCCUUUUCAGCUGAAUGACGACAUUGAAAGAAAACACUGAAGCAACCUUCAGCCACUUUGAUGACCUUUUGAAAUGGAUCGUGGGGCUAACGUUUUCCAUCUUAUAAUGGUGAACAAACCAAAAGUGAAAUACAAAAUGAAUAUCCUGCACAUGAACAUUGACAACAUCUUUGUAAACAGCUCAGUGGUCCCUCAAUCCAAACAGGCCAAGCAUUUCCCACAAUUUCCCGAGCUUACAGUAACUGGAAGUGUGUGUGUGUGAUGCUUGACAAUGUGUUGUAUGUCACAUGACUUCCCAGCAGACAAUUAAACUGAAACGAAAGAGAAUCCAUGGGGUUAUCCAGUUCUAAUUUACCGC